rnacentral:rRNA from 1 species
UGGGGAAUUUUGGACAAUGGGCGAAAGCCUGAUCCAGCAAUGCCGCGUGUGUGAAGAAGGCCUUCGGGUUGUAAAGCACUUUUGUCCGGAAAGAAAUCCUUGGCUCUAAUACAGUCGGGGGAUGACGGUACCGGAAGAAUAAGCACCGGCUAACUACGUGCCAGCAGCCGCGGUAAUACGUAGGGUGCAAGCGUUAAUCGGAAUUACUGGGCGUAAAGCGUGCGCAGGCGGUUUGCUAAGACCGAUGUGAAAUCCCCGGGCUCAACCUGGGAACUGCAUUGGUGACUGGCAGGCUAGAGUAUGGCAGAGGGGGGUAGAAUUCCACGUGUAGCAGUGAAAUGCGUAGAGAUGUGGAGGAAUACCGAUGGCGAAGGCAGCCCCCUGGGCCAAUACUGGCGCUCAUGCACGAAAGCGUGGGGAGCAAACAGGAUUAGAUACCCUGGUAGUCCACGCCCUAAACGAUGUCAACUAGUUGUUGGGGAUUCAUUUCCUUAGUAACGUAGCUAACGCGUGAAGUUGACCGCCUGGGGAGUACGGUCGCAAGAUUAAAACUUAAAUGAAUUGACGGGGUCAUAGCUGUUUCCU